AGUGAACGCUGGCGGUAGGCCUAACACAUGCAAGUCGAACGGCAGCACAGUAAGAGCUUGCUCUUACGGGUGGCGAGUGGCGGACGGGUGAGGAAUACAUCGGAAUCUACUUUUUCGUGGGGGAUAACGUAGGGAAACUUACGCUAAUACCGCAUACGACCUACGGGUGGAAGCAGGGGAUCUUCGGACCUUUCGCGAUUGAAUGAGCCGAUGUCGGAUUAGCUAGUUGGCGGGGUAAAGGCCCACCAAGGCGACGAUCCGUAGCUGGUCUGAGAGGAUGAUCAGCCACACUGGAACUGAGACACGGUCCAGACUCCUACGGGAGGCAGCAGUGGGGAAUAUUGGACAAUGGGCGAAAGCCUGAUCCAGCCAUACCGCGUGGGUGAAGAAGGCCUUCGGGUUGUAAAGCCCUUUUGUUGGGAAAGAAAAGCAGCAGGUUAAUACCCCGCUGUUCUGACGGUACCCAAAGAAUAAGCACCGGCUAACUUCGUG
rnacentral:rRNA from 1 species